rnacentral:rRNA from 1 species
UGGGGGAUAUUGCACAAUGGGCGAAAGCCUGAUGCAGCGACGCCGCGUGGGGGAUGAAGGCUUUUGGGUUGUAAACCUCUUUCGCUAUCGAACAAGGCCCGCUUAGGGUGGGUUGAGGGUAGGUGGAGAAGAAGCGCCGGCUAACUACGUGCCAGCAGCCGCGGUAAUACGUAGGGCGCGAGCGUUGUCCGGAAUUAUUGGGCGUAAAGGGCUUGUAGGCGGCUUGUUGCGCCUGCUGUGAAAACGCGGGGCUUAACUUCGCGCGUGCAGUGGGUACGGGCAGGCUUGAGUGUGGUAGGGGUGACUGGAAUUCCAGGUGUAGCGGUGGAAUGCGCAGAUAUCUGGAGGAACACCGAUGGCGAAGGCAGGUCACUGGGCCAUUACUGACGCUGAGGAGCGAAAGCAUGGGUAGCGAACAGG